AACGAACGCUGGCGGCAGGCUUAACACAUGCAAGUCGAACGCGUGCAGCAAUGCACGAGUGGCGCACGGGUGAGUAACGCGUGGAUAUCUGCCUUUUGGUUCGGAAUAACCCCGGGAAACUGGGGCUAAUACCGGAUGGUUCCUACGGGAUAAAGAUUUAUCGCCAAAAGAUGAGUCCGCGUCCGAUUAGCUAGUUGGUGAGGUAAUGGCUCACCAAGGCGACGAUCGGUAGCUGGUCUGAGAGGACGAUCAGCCACACUGGGGCUGAGACACGGCCCAGACUCCUACGGGAGGCAGCAGUGGGGAAUAUUGGACAAUGGGGGCAACCCUGAUCCAGCCAUGCCGCGUGAGUGAUGAAGGCCUUCGGGUUGUAAAGCUCUUUUGGCGGGGACGAUGAUGACGGUACCCGCAGAAUAAGCCCCGGCUAACUUCGUG
rnacentral:rRNA from 1 species